AAUGAAUCAGAAUAACAAUAAUACUCUCUUAUGGUACUGAUUGUAAAAGAAGUGUACAAUAACCCAACAACAUAUUAAAAUGAACCAGAAUAAAACAUUAGUACACACUACAAAACUGACAGCCAAAGAGCAAAAUCUACAACAAUAAUGUGAUGCUGUGAAUUCAAGUUGUCAUGCUAACCACAUUGGAAAAUACCCACAAUCUACAAUAUUGUGUUUACUUUUAGCUAACCGAUUCACAGUAUCAGUAGUAGUUGUAAAAGGUUUGCCCAGGAAAGCCUCAGACACAAGGAACAAGACUUAGCACCAAUACCAUGAUUAGGUAAGUGACCUACCUGAGGUGCACACUUUAUUGCCUAGCCUAAGCACUUUUUUUCCAGGCACAAAAAUGGCAAAACUUUGUUAUAUUUUGACUAACCAUUUAUUUUUAUAUCUGUUUUAUGUUAUUUAAACUGAAAUAUUGAAAUUAAGGCUAGGUAUUAGUUUAUGGUAUGUUGCAAUACACCCAAUAAAUUAAAUGCAACAAAAAAAGGUCAAUGAUUAUCUUGUUGUUUUGAUGUUUUCAAUUAGCAAAGAGAAAUGGAAAUAAGGCAAGAAGCAGAACAUGAACCAAAUAAAGGUUUAAAGAGUACUUCAACCAAGUUAAUACUCUUUCUCUCUCUUAUCUUAAUAUCUUCAUCCAUCUCUAUUUCUCAGUACGACCACCCUCUAGAGUUCAACCAUGAUAAAACUGGUGUUGAAUUUUGGAUCAUAAUAAAUAUACGUGUAUAUCCUUAAAUAGUGGAUAGGUUUGCAAAAAGUUUGUUAUGAUUUGUGAUUGUGAAUAAAUAAGAAUUCAUCAAAAGGGCAAUCUGCGGCUUAAUUGAGUUGCUGCUGUCUAUUUUAUUGAAUAAAUAAGAAUUUUUCAAUAAAGCUUAGACAAUUAUGCAAAAUAGAUGACAACAAACAGAAAAAGAAAGACCAAGGGCAAACCUCAUAAUCA
rnacentral:misc_RNA from 1 species